rnacentral:rRNA from 2 species
UGGGGAAUAUUGCACAAUGGGCGCAAGCCUGAUGCAGCGACGCCGCGUGGAUGAAGAAGGCCGAAAGGUUGUAAAGUUCUUUUGUUGGGGAAGAAUAACCAUGGGAGGGAAUGCCCGUGGGAUGACAUGAACCGACGAAUAAGCCCCGGCUAACUACGUGCCAGCAGCCGCGGUAACACGUAGGGGGCGAGCGUUGUUCGGAAUUACUGGGCGUAAAGGGCAUGUAGGCGGUCUUGUAAGCUUGGCGUGAAAGACCACGGCUCAACCGUGGGAUUGCGUUGAGAACUGCGAGGCUUGAGUGACGGAGAGGGAGCUAGAAUUCCUGGUGUAGGGGUGGAAUCUGUAGAGAUCAGGAAGAAUACCAAUGGCGAAGGCAAGCUCCUGGCCGAUGACUGACGCUGAGGUGCGAAAGUGUGGGGAUCAAACAGG